UCACAUAUUUCUAUACAAUGAAAUACUGCCUGUAAUGAGCUGUGUUGUGCAUGAUCCACAUUAUGCUUGUUUUGAGAAAUACUAAAAAAUACUGUAUUUUUUCAGAAAGAAAUAACAGAUGUGUAGGAAAUGCAAUACCUGAGAAAGCUAAACUGAAAUUUCCAUUAUAUGAAUUCUAAAAGCCUUGAAAAUUGGUUUAUUUAAAUGAACCAACUACAACAAACUUAAGCACUUGCAAAAUAUUUAGACUUGAAACUUGCUUUGGAUAUUGACCGUUGUUCGUCUCAACACCCGAAAAAGUUUGGUCCCAGCUAAUGUCAACUGACAGAUCCACUGACAGCCAGACGUGUGAGCAAUCUCAGGCAAGAUUACUUCCUAGCUAACCACCCUAACAAACACAUGGUGUGGAGAGUUUAUAAAUGUAUCUCAUGCUGUUCUAAGGUAGGUCUCCUUUAACACCUAUCAUUGGCUUCAUUUCACAAUGAUCCUAUUGUUUGAAUCAACUUUGUGUAAAGAUAUGAGUUUAUCUCUAAUAAACUAGUCUGUUGGCCAAAGACCAUAAGGGAUCUCCAGGGGAGUCAUUAGAUUUUAAAGAAAAGCAUUGUUAUAAACAGCUUUCAAAUUGAAAUAAAAAUAACUUCACAGCUAAUCACAUGUGUUAAGCAGGGUGUUUUGGAUAAAUUUCCUCUGUCUCAAUGCCUGAAACUUCUUCAGAAGUUCAGUUUUGACAAACUAGAGUUUAAACUGAGGAAGACAAAAAAUGUAUUUGUAGAGAUACUUUAAUAUUAUUUCAGGUUCAGGUGAUGUAACUUUGGAAAGAUGUUGCCCAAAGACCAGACACAUGUAUCUGAAUGUCUAAUGCCAACCCAGGGAAAAGGACAGAGGGGAAAAGAAAU
rnacentral:lncRNA from 10 species